rnacentral:rRNA from 1 species
UCGAUUAGCCAUGCGAGUUAAUGUUCUUCGUGAACAUAGCGAACUGCUCAGUAACACGUGGAUAACCUACCCUUAGGACCGGAAUAACCCCGGGAAACUGGGGAUAAUACCGGAUAAGCCAUAGACGCUGGAAUGCCCUAUGGUUCAAAGCUCCGGCGCCUAAGGAUGGAUCUGCGGUCUAUCAGGUUGUAGUGGGUGUAACGUACCUACUAGCCGACGACGGAUACGGGUUGUGAGAGCAAGAGCCCGGAGAUGGAUUCUGAGACACGAAUCCAGGCCCUACGGGGUGCAGCAGGCGCGAACACUUUACAAUGCGGGAAACCGCGAUAAGGGAACCCCGAGUGCCAGCAUCAAAUGUUGGCUGUCCAGAUGAUUAAAAAUCAUUUGUUAGCAAGGGCCGGGCAAGACCGGUGCCAGCCGCCGCGGUAACACCGGCGGCCCGAGUGGUAGCCGUUUUUAUUGGGUCUAAAGGGUCCGUAGCCGGCUUGAUAAGUCCUUUGGGAAAUCUGGCAGCUUAACUGUCAGGCUUCUAAGGGAUACUGUCAGGCUUGGGACCGGAAGAGGUAAGGGGUACUCCAGGGGUAGGAGUGAAAUCUUGUAAUCCCUGGGGGACCAGCUGUGGCGAAGGCGCCUUACCAGAACGGGUCCGACGGUGAGGGACGAAAGCUAGGGGAGCAAACCGGAUUAGAUACCCGGGUAGUCCUAGCUGUAAACGAUGCUCGCUAGGUGUCAGACACGGUGCGACCGUGUUUGGUGCCGCAGGGAAGCCGUUAAGCGAGCCACCUGGGAAGUACGGUCGCANGCUGAAACUUAAAGGAUUGGCGGGGGAGCCUACACGGGUGG